UGGGGAAUAUUGGACAAUGGGGGGAACCCUGAUCCAGCCAUGCCGCGUGUGUGAAGAAGGCCUUAUGGUUGUAAAGCACUUUAAGCGAGGAGGAGGGUACUGGUAUUAAUACUACCAGGUACUGGACGUUACUCGCAGAAUAAGCACCGGCUAACUCUGUGCCAGCAGCCGCGGUAAUACAGAGGGUGCGAGCGUUAAUCGGAUUUACUGGGCGUAAAGCGUGCGUAGGCGGCUAAUUGAGUCGGAUGUGAAAUCCCCGAGCUUAACUUUGGAAUUUCAAUCUGUACUGGUUUGCUAAAGUGUUGGAGAGGAUUGUAGAAUUCCCGGGUUAGCCGUUAAAUGCCUUACGAUCUGGGGGAAUACCGAUGGCGAAGGCAGCCAUCUGGCCUAACACUGACGCUGAGGUACGAAAGCAUGGGGAGCAAACAGG
rnacentral:rRNA from 1 species